CACAAAUGUGCAUCAUCGCUCCAAAACAGCACUUGUGGUCCCAGUUCGUGACGUCGUUAUCCACCGAUAUUUUACGUCUCCUGGAAUAAUUGAAAAUGACAUUGCCCUUGCCCUGCUUGACUUCCCUGUGAAUUACUCCACGCACAUCCAGCUUGUGUGCCUCCCUGAACAGGCUUUCAUGGUGCAAGCUGGUACGAACUGCUGGGUGACCGGAUGGGGCAAAGUAAAUGAAACAGGGAGAUUCUGGGGGGCCCCUGGUCUGUGAAUUAAAUGGCACAUGGGUCCAGGUGGGGAUUGUGAGCUGGGGCAUUGGCUGCGGUCGCAAAGG
rnacentral:lncRNA from 1 species